rnacentral:rRNA from 1 species
CUUGGUCAUUUAGAGGAAGUAAAAGUCGUAACAAGGUUUCCGUAGGUGAACCUGCGGAAGGAUCAUUACCGAGAAUAGGGGCUUCGGCCCCGAACCUCCCACCCAAUGCGUACCUUACCACCGUUGCUUUGGCGGGCCCGCGGGUCGAAACCGCCGCCGGCCUUUCGGGGCUUGACGAGCGUCCGCCAGAGUCCACCCAAACCCGUCUGAAUUUGGUGCCGUCUGAGAAGCAAAUUUUUAAUAGCAAAAAACUUUCAACAACGGAUCUCUUGGUUCUGGCAUCGAUGAAGAACGCAGCGAAAUGCGAUAAGUAAUGUGAAUUGCAGAAUUCAGUGAAUCAUCGAAUCUUUGAACGCACCUUGCACCCUUUGGUAUUCCGAAGGGUACACCCGUUUGAGUGUCAUUGUAAUCUCACCACCAUUGGCUUUGUUGUCUUCUGGUCGGUGGACUUGGAUGCUGCCGUGGAUUUCUACGGCUCGUCUGAAAUGCCUGAGUGUACUCUGCUUUGCGGCGUAUUCGGUGUGAUACAUCUUCACCGGAGUUGAUCCUUUUGGGUCGCGUCUGUGAUGUGUGGCUCUAUGCUUCCAAACCGUCUGUAAUGGACAAUGUCUGACAAUUUGACCUCAAAUCGGGUGGGACUACCCGCUGAACUUAAGCAUAUCAAUAAGCGGAGGA